rnacentral:rRNA from 1 species
UGGGGAAUUUUGGACAAUGGGCGCAAGCCUGAUCCAGCCAUGCCGCGUGCGGGAAGAAGGCCUUCGGGUUGUAAACCGCUUUUGUCAGGGAAGAAAUCUUCUGAGUUAAUACCUCGGGAGGAUGACGGUACCUGAAGAAUAAGCACCGGCUAACUACGUGCCAGCAGCCGCGGUAAUACGUAGGGUGCAAGCGUUAAUCGGAAUUACUGGGCGUAAAGCGUGCGCAGGCGGUUUUGUAAGACAGAGGUGAAAUCCCCGGGCUCAACCUGGGAACUGCCUUUGUGACUGCAAGGCUUGAGUGCGGCAGAGGGGGAUGGAAUUCCGCGUGUAGCAGUGAAAUGCGUAGAUAUGCGGAGGAACACCGAUGGCGAAGGCAAUCCCCUGGGCCUGCACUGACGCUCAUGCACGAAAGCGUGGGGAGCAAAACAGGAUUAGAUACCCUGGUAGUCCACGCCCUAAACGAUGUCAACUGGUUGUUGGGAAGGUUCCUUCUCAGUAACGUAGCUAACGCGUGAAGUUGACCGCCUGGGGAGUACGGCCGCAAGGUUGAAACUUAAAUAAAUUGACGGGGUC